rnacentral:lncRNA from 1 species
GUGGAGAAUUUUGAAAGACUCUUUUCAAAGUUAAAGGAAAUGAAAGACAAGGCUGCGACGCUUCCUCAUGAGCAAAGAAAAGUGCAUGCAGAAAAGGUGGCCAAAGCAUUCUGGAUGGCAAUCGGGGGAGACAGAGAUGAAAUUGAAGGCCUUUCAUCUGAUGAAGAGCACUGAAUUAUUCAUACUAGGGUUUGACCAACAAAGAUGCUAGCUGUCUCUGAGAUACCUCUCUACUCAGCCCAGUCAUAUUUUGCCAAAAUUGCCCUUAUCAUGUUGGCUGCCUGACUUGUUUAUAGGGUCCCCUUAAUUUUAGUUUUUAGUAGGAGGUUAAGGAGAAAUCUUUUUUUUCCUCAGUAUAUUGUAAGAGAGUGAGGAAUACAGUGAUAGUAAUGAGUGAGGAUUUCUUAAAUAUACUUUUUUUUUGUUCUAGGAAUGAGGGUAGGAUAAAUCUCAGAGGUCUGUGUGAUUUACUCAAGUUGAAGACAACCUCCAGGCCAUUCCUGGUCAACCUUUUAAGUAGCAUUUCCAGCAUUCACACUUGAUACUGCACAUCAGGAGUUGUGUCACCUUUCCUGGGUGAUUUGGGUUUUCUCCAUUCAAGGAGCUUGUAGCUCUGAGCUAUGAUGCUUUUAUUGGGAGGAAAGGAGGCAGCUGCAGAAUUGAUGUGAGCUAUGUGGGGCCGAAGUCUCAGCCCGCAGCUAAGUCUCUACCUAAGAAAAUGCCUCUGGGCAUUCUUUUGAAGUAUAGUGUCUGAGCUCAUGCUAGAAAGAAUCAAAAAGCCAGUGUGGAUUUUUAGACUGUAAUAAAUGAGGCAAAGGAUUUCUAUUCCAGUGGGAAGAAAACCUCUCUACUGAGUUGUGGGGGAUAUGUUGUAUGUUAGAGAGAACCUUAAGGAGUCCUUGUAUGGGCCAUGGAGACAGUAUGUGAUAACAUACCGUGAUUUUCAUGAAGAAAUUCUUCUGUCUUAGAGUUCUCCCCUGCUGCUUGAGAUGCCAGAGCUGUGUUGUUGCACACCUGCAAAACAAGGCACAUUUCCCCCUUUCUCUUUAAAGCCAAAGAGAGAUCACUGCCAAAGUGGGAGCACUAAGGGGUGGGUGGGGAAGUGAAAUGUUAGGCGAUGAAUUCCUGAGCACCUUGUUUUUCUUCCAAGGUUCGUAGCUCCUCUCUGCCCUUCCAAGCCUGUAACCUCGGAGGACUAUCUUUUGUUCUUUAUCCUUUGUCUUGUUUGAGUGGGUCAGCCCCAGAGGAACUGAUAAGCAAAUGGCAAGUUUUUAAAGGAAGAGUGGAAAGUACUGCAAAUAAAAAUCCUUAUUUGUUUU